GAGUGACGGAACAUGGCUCUCAAUCAUGCCUGUCUGUCUCCCCAGGUCUGUGCUUAAAACCACAAAGUUCAAGAUGGAAACUGAAGGGAAGAGUGUCAAGGGGAUGGGAGAGAGGACUUGUCCAUGACUUUAGCAGCAUAAGGAAAAAAUACCUAGGGACAAGUGGCGAUUUUGGAAACUCCCUUCCUCUGCAGAAUGACAUCACGAGGAGAGUGGUGGGGCCUGGGGGUGAAAAGAUCUGGCUUCUCCUCCCAACUCUGCUAUAAGGAAGCGCUGGAUGGCCCUGUCGGCCGCGGUCAUCGCCGCCUCGGCCCGGGAGCUCAGCAUUGCAGCCGCACCGGAGGCCUGAAACCACCUCCUCCGCUACUGCCGCCGCCGCCGCCGCCGGACCGCAGGCUACGAAGUCCCAGCACCUCGGGGGAACGUAGACCGCAGGACAGCGCCCAGGGGGACCGGAAGUAGCUGCCCCCGGAGAGCAAUAGCUGACGGACCACGUCCUUUCUUUAUUUUCCCUUAGCAACAGGCCCCGGCGUCGGUUGCUAAGCUAGGCUCAGUUGCUUGGGUCUGCUUGGUUUUCAGAUUUGCUUAGGCUCCAUUCAUAAAUACAGAUGGCACACUUCUAGGAUGG
rnacentral:antisense_RNA from 1 species